rnacentral:rRNA from 1 species
UACGUAGGUGGCAAGCGUUGUCCGGAAUUAUUGGGCGUAAAGCGCGCGCAGGCGGUUUCUUAAGUCUGAUGUGAAAUCUCGCGGCUCAACCGUGAGCGGUCAUUGGAAACUGGGAAACUUGAGUGCAGAAGAGAAGAGCGGAAUUCCACGUGUAGCAGUGAAAUGCGUAGAGAUGUGGAGGAACACCGAUGGCGAAGGCAGCCUCCUGGGCUAGUACUGACGCUGAGGAGCGAAAGCGUGGGGAGCAAACAGG